GAUGAACGCUGGCGGCGUGCCUAAUACAUGCAAGUCGAGCGAACAGACGAGGAGCUUGCUCCUCUGACGUUAGCGGCGGACGGGUGAGUAACACGUGGAUAACCUACCUAUAAGACUGGGAUAACUUCGGGAAACCGGAGCUAAUACCGGAUAAUAUAUUGAACCGCAUGGUUCAAUAGUGAAAGACGGUUUUGCUGUCACUUAUAGAUGGAUCCGCGCCGCAUUAGCUAGUUGGUAAGGUAACGGCUUACCAAGGCAACGAUGCGUAGCCGACCUGAGAGGGGGAGGGGCCACACCGGAUCGGAGACGAGGUCCAGCCCCCAACGGGAGGGAAGAGUGGGGAAUGGUACGCAAGGGGAGAAAGCCUGACGGAGCAACGCCGCGGGAGUGAGGAAGGUCUUGGGAUCGUAAAACUCUGUUAUUAGGGAAGAAAAAAAGUGUAAGUAACUAUGGAGUUCUUGACGUAACCGAAGCAGAAAGCCCCGCCUAAUUACUU
rnacentral:rRNA from 1 species